AGGCCAUUUGAAUCAAGACAUGUUAAGUUUUAAAACUAGCUUAUUUUAAAUUUAUUUUCUCAACAGUUUAUAUCUGAGUUUUCUCGACUAAACUGUUGUCAGGUAAUGGAAGACAAUUGAUAAUGGUGGGAUAGUUAGGUUUCAUACAGUGACCAAAGGUGUUUUCAAGGAAAAAUCUUUCCCUUGAAAAAAGGGAAAGGCAUUAGCAUUAGCCUUCUCCCUAAAAUAAGCAUUCUAGCUAUUUUUAACGUAUUAGCUAUGUUUAGUAUACUGAAUGGAGGAUGUCAAUGUAAGACGAUAUGCUUUUGAUGCCCCACAUGCUACUGACAGCAUUUAGGCUAACAUUAGCAUUUUGGCUCAUUUUAGUUUAUACAUUAAUUUUAACAAAUUAAAUGGCGUAACUCCAUGUUAGUUAACAUGUUUGUGAUUCUCCAUAUGCUAUUGACUACAUUUUAGCUAAGCUUAGCAUUGAUGCUAAUUUUUAGCAUCAGAAUGCUGGGUCCAGCCGAUGGGCACACAUUGGCAGGCCACGUUUAAAUUUCUUCAGAAUUUUUCUAGUUGUGUUUAGAAUUCAUUGAAAUGUACAGAAGCACAUUGCUUUCACGCAGAAAAAUAAAUUCGAGCACUAUCAUGUUAUAACGUGAUGCAUAUCUUGUAAAAACGUGAUCAUUUUAAGUCCAGGAAGUGGUGGUAUUAUGCUAGGCAGAGGCUAACAGGAAUUGGUCGAGUAUCCCUUCAUGUUUGCUAUUCAUUUUUUAUAAUAUUGAUGUGACCAAUUAAGGAGAUGGAUAGGAUAUUUAAUCUUACUUUUAAAGCUAACAUAUUUAGACACUUUUGACCUGGAAUAGAUUAUUCAUCUCUGAUGCUAUGUUGCAUGACGAUAAAUCUGAAUCUGGAAGGUUGUUGGCAUUAUUAUCCUAGCUGAUGCAUCCAUGUAAGCCACAACAGCUAAACAGAAAGGCAGAUGCUCUAGGACAAAAAAGAAAGAAAACAGAAAAUUAAAAUAGCAAAUAUUGCAAACGUGAUAGGAGUUCAUUUCUAAUGCAUUCCAGAUGCAAAAAGGUUUUUAAAUCUCAAGAUGGCUAUCACGUUUUUACAAGAUACGCAUCACGUUAUAACGUGAUAGUGUUCAAAAAUAAUAAUAAUUCUGCGUGAUAGCAAUGCGCUCCUGUAGAAAUGCAUUAUCUGAACUAACAUUUUUAUUUGAAACAGGAAAUGGGACUGUGAGAUGUUUUGUUUUGGACAUUAGUUGUCUCAGCAAUUUUUUUCUGCAAUUCCUCUGUUUCUCUGAUCAGUCCUCUGCAGUGUCUGUUCAGCUGCUACUUUUUUCUUUAUGAAUACCAGCAGCUCCUUGAUCAAUUUUGAAGCUCCUGUCUCUAUUGCUGGGUUUCAGACAUGUGACUGGGAUGACGUGCGAAAUGCAAAUGGAGGGCAGGAAGUGGAUUUCUCCAGUUCAAAAAACAUCCCAUAAUGCCCUAAAUGGGCUCGCAAAGGCGAGGUAUCGAAAAAAUACAGUCACAUUUAGGAUAUGAUCCAUACUGUCUAGCUAACAAAGACUUGUCAUGUACCGGUAAUCUGGAGUAUUUACCUGUCAUGGAGGUGAUUGACAUAACCAAGUAUCUGGUGCUGCAGACCUCAUGCUAUACCACCAGCCAAAUGGAAGCUUUCAAAAGUCUAGAAGCAUACACUUAUUUAGUUUCAGGUCGGGUCAACUGUUUAGGAUCCAAAGAAGCAUUAAAUGGCUGUCAACUUGUUUCUGCCUGGGUGAGUAAUGAGUUGUGCCAUUUUAAGUAAUUAGUCCAUGAUAACAAUGUUACCGCUAACAACAAGCUAACCCAUGUUAUUUCUAUGUGCUUGGAUCUACUUGUAAAAAAUUUAUGUAGCUUCUAUAAACCCAAAUUCAUGUUGGAGUUGUAUGUUAAUGUUGAGUCAUACUGCAUUUCUACAAUGUAGGUCAACCAUUCGCAGCGAUCAACAGAAACCCCAUUAAAAACGUGGUUUGUGGUCAGAGACAGUGGGGAAAUAGUCACAGCUCACUGUGACUCUGUGGCUGGACUGUCAAAUCUUGCUCAUGUGGGAGCUGUCCUUUCUGCAACAGAGGCUUGGGGUGAAAAUGAACAAAAGUGCUUUGCGCACCACAGAGAAGUGAAAAUGGCUAAUGCCAUCACACAUGAAAAAGAUACCAGCUGCACCUGUUGCCAAUAUUGAUUUUGUGUUUGCAAGAUCAAAAAAUAAAUUGGAUGAUGUUAUUCCAGGGAGGACAGGUAAUCAUGUUUGUCAAUUGGUUAUAUUCCGCAAAGAAAAAUUAUGUGUAAAAUAGAUGCAUUAUUUAUAUUAAUUUUAUUUUCUAUAACAAUUAGAUACACUUUUACAAUGAUGCAUUUAUUUUGGCCACCUCUGCAGGCAAGGUACCUGAGAAUUGUACAACACAAAUCCCUUUGUGUCCAAAAGUAGAGAGAGAUUCUGAGACGUAUGUGCUGUUUUUUGAGGCUUUACAUAAAACUUUUCCAAGAAGUGCUGCCUUGAUGUCCAGGGCACCAUAUUACAGAGUUUGUCCCCAAGUGUGUCUCCUUCUUAUCAAAAUCUCUCUCUGCAUACCAGAGACUUCACAGCUAUCUCCAGCACAAUAACAGGCAGCAUGCAGGGACUUCAGUUAUGAGGAACUCGGUGUUCUUCAGGUACCAGCUGUAGAGGAGGAGACAAGUAAAUUUGAAGCAACAUCCCAACAACAGUAUGAACAACUCCAAAGUGUGGACCAUGAGGGGUUUUCCUGCAUGGUCAGUGGGCUGUGGUUAAACUCAAUGUGGCCGUACAUGGGAGCCUCACCAGAUGGAGUGGUUUCAUGUGACUGUCCUGGAGCCGGUGUUUGUGAAAUCAAGGUAAAAACUAUUCCUCGAGAAAUUCUAAUCGCUGCAUUGCAGAUUUUGAGCACCUCAAAAUAUGAAUAUUACAACUGUAAUUUUUUUCCUCGAAUCAUUAUGUUAGUACAACUCACAACAUGUAGUUGUAGUUUUGUGGAUGGCGUUGUUUUUUCUGGGACAUUGAUUUCCCCCCCGUUACAAAAAGGGUUUUGACGUUCCAUGACCUUUUAAGACCUAGUUCAGAUUAAAACAUUAACAGUGGAACAAACCCGGUUCACAGACAUAAACAUGCUCACAUUUUAGCAUUAUUUUUUAUCAGUGAAAUAACUGAAACACAAGCUUUAAAAAAAUGUCAUAUUUCAAUGUUUGGAAGAGUAUUUUCCAUGUCUAGCUUUCAUUGUCUUAUUCUUCAGUGUCUACAGAGCAAACAGCAUGAAGUCAAUCUAAGGAUGUGCACUGGAUAGUAUGGCUUUUGUCUCGUAAAGGACGAAGAUUCUGUGCCACUGGAUAGGAAUCAUCCUUAUUACUGUCGGGUCCAGGCUCAGAUUCACAUUGUGGAUGUGCAACAUUAUGAUUUUUUUUUAGUGCGGAGUGAAAAUGGUAUUUAUAUGGAAAGAAUUCUGCCAGAUGCUGAGCUCUGGGAAACAACAGUUCCCAAAAUUCAGCAAUAUUUUACGCAUUGCAUCCUACCUGAAAUCCUGGGACAGAAAUUCACACAUGACUAACAAAUCUAAGCAUUAAAAAUGUUACUUUGAGUAGUUGAUGACAUGGUACCAUGAUAGAUAUAAUGUAUGUAA